CCUACGGGCGGCAGCAGUGGGGAAUAUUGGACAAUGGGCGAAAGCCUGAUCCAGCCAUGCCGCGUGUGUGAAGAAGGCCUUCGGGUUGUAAAGCACUUUCAGUGGGGAAGAAAGCCUUGGGGCUAAUACCCUCGAGGAAGGACAUCACCCACAGAAGAAGCACCGGCUAACUCCGUGCCAGCAGCCGCGGUAAUACGGAGGGUGCGAGCGUUAAUCGGAAUUACUGGGCGGAAAGCGCGCGUAGGCGGUCUGAUAAGCCGGUUGUGAAAGCCCCGGGCUCAACCUGGGAACGGCAUCCGGAACUGUCAGGCUAGAGUGCAGGAGAGGAAGGUAGAAUUCCCGGUGUAGCAGUGAAAUGCGUAGAGAUCGGGAGGAAUACCAGUGGCGAAGGCGGCCUUCUGGACUGACACUGACGCUGAGGUGCGAAAGCGUGGGUAGCAAACAGGAUUAGAUACCCGGGUAGUC
rnacentral:rRNA from 1 species